rnacentral:rRNA from 1 species
ACGGAAGGCAGCAGUAGGGAAUAUUGCAUAAGGGGGGAAACCCUGAUGUAGCGACGCCGCGUGAGCGAUGAAGUAUUUCGGUAUGUAAAGCUCUAUCAGCAGGGAAGAUAAUGACGGUACCUGACUAAGAAGCCCCGGCUAACUACGUGCCAGCAGCCGCGGUAAUACGUAGGGGGCAAGCGUUAUCCGGAUUUACUGGGUGUAAAGGGAGUGUAGGUGGUUUGGCAAGCCAGAUGUGAAAACCCGGGGCUCAACUCCGUGGACUGCAUUUGGAACUGUUAAACUUGAGUGCAGGAGAGGAAAGUGGAAUUCCUAGUGUAGCGGUGAAAUGCGUAGAUAUUAGGAGGAACACCAGUGGCGAAGGCGGCUUUCUGGACUGUAACUGACACUGAGGCUCGAAAGCGUGGGGAGCAAACAGGAUUAGAUACCCUGGUA